rnacentral:rRNA from 1 species
UACGAAGGGGGCUAGCGUUGCUCGGAAUCACUGGGCGUAAAGCGCACGUAGGCGGGUCCUUAAGUCGGGGGUGAAAUCCUGGAGCUCAACUCCAGAACUGCCUUCGAUACUGGCGAUCUUGAGUCCGGAAGAGGUGAGUGGAACUCCUAGUGUAGAGGUGGAAUUCGUAGAUAUUAGGAAGAACACCAGUGGCGAAGGCGGCUCACUGGUCCGGUACUGACGCUGAGGUGCGAAAGCGUGGGGAGCAAACAGG